GGAUGUGAUGGGGAGCGAAAUUUAGUAGCGAAGUAGCUGAUUUCACACUGUCAAGAAAAGUCUCUAUCGAGGUUAAAGGUACCCGUACCGCAAACCGACACAGGUGGGUGAGGAGAGUAUCCUAAGGCCAGCGAGAGAACUGUUGUUAAGGAACUCGGCAAAAUGACCCCGUAACUUAGGGAUAAGGGGUGCCACCAUCAGGUGGCCGCAGAGAAUAGGCCCAAGCGACUGUUUACCAAAAACAUAGGUUUCUGCUAAGUCGCAAGACGAUGUAUAGGAGCUGACGCCUGCCCGGUGCUGGAAGGUUAAGGGGAUCUGUUAGAGCAAUCGAAGCAGUGAACUUAAGCCCCAGUAAACGGCGGCCGUAACUAUAACGGUCCUAAGGUAGCGAAAUUCCUUGUCGGGUAAGUUCCGACCCGCACGAAAGGCGUAACGAUUUGGGCACUGUCUCAACAACAGACUCGGUGAAAUUGUAAUUCCGGUGAAGAUGCCGGAUACCUGCGACAGGACGGAAAGACCCCAUGGAGCUUUACUGUAGCUUGACAUUGGGUCUUGGUACUACAUGUACAGGAUAGGUGGGAGGCUUUGAAACCAGGACGCCAGUUUUGGCGGAGCCAUCCUUGGGAUACCACCCUUGUAGUACUGGGACUCUAACCAUAGGCCAUGAAUCUGGUCUUGGGACACUGUCAGGUGGGCAGUUUGACUGGGGCGGUCGCCUCCCAAAAGGUAACGGAGGCGCUCAAAGGUUCUCUCAGUACGGUCGGAAAUCGUACGUAGAGUGUAAAGGCAAAAGAGAGCUUGAUUGCAAGACAUACAGGUCGAGCAAGGAUGAAAAUCGGACUUAGUGAUCCGGUGGUUCUGCGUGGAAGGGCCAUCGCUCAACGGAUAAAAGCUACCCUGGGGAUAACAGGCUUAUCUCCCCCAAGAGUCCACAUCGACGGGGAGGUUUGGCACCUCGAUGUCGGCUCAUCACAUCCUGGGGCUGUAGUAGGUCCCAAGGGUUGGGCUGUUCGCCCAUUAAAGUGGUACGCGAGCUGGGUUCAGAACGUCGUGAGACAGUUCGGUCCCUAUCCGUCGCAGGCGUAGGAAAUUUGAGAAGACCUGUCCUUAGUACGAGAGGACCGGGAUGGACGUACCU
rnacentral:rRNA from 1 species